CAUAUAGGAUCUGACACGCGCCCACAACCUUUUCUUUUUUUACUCUCUCUCUCUUUACAUGCGUACAUAAAUGCAAUGAAAAACCUUAUUCAUCAUUAGGCAUCUACUAAACUCACACUCCACAUUUAUCCACUUAUACAACAUUCAAGUUCCUUGUGACUUCAUACUUUUUUUGGAAAUGAAAAGUGGUACUAGAGUAAGAAAAUCAAUUACAAUAGCUUUUCUUCCAGUGGCCUUUCUAUUCUUGCUUUCUUUUGUAGCUUGUACAGGACCAUUGAGGUGGAUUCUUCUAUCAAGCUAUCUCAUCUACUACCUAUCUUUAUCUUUAUGGAUUUUGGCUGCAUUGCAUACUACAUGACAUUCAAUCCAUAUACACAAAAUGAAGGGAUUUUUCAUCAUUCACUAUAUCUCUAUGUUCUUGGUUUUGUUAUUGAGUGAGUGAUCGAUGUCGCCUUACUUUUUGUUUUCCUUCAACCUCUUUGAAAGAAUCAACAAUCUCGUUGUGUACUGAAGCAGAAAGAGGAUAAUGUGUUUAUAUUCAAUCUUCUCCAGCUCUAUGUCACACCUGCUCUUUUGGUUGGGCUUUUAUGUAGUAUAUUGAGCAAGUUCAAGUCUUUUUUUUCAGCAUAAAAUAAAUUUCACUACUUAGAUAUGGACAGCGAUUUUUUCUUUUGA